GACGAACGCUGGCGGCGUGCUUAACACAUGCAAGUCGAACGGAAAGGCUCCAGCUUGCUGGAGUACUCGAGUGGCGAACGGGUGAGUAACACGUGGGUAAUCUGCCCUGCACUCUGGGAUAAGUCUGGGAAACUGGGUCUAAUACUGGAUAUGACCUUUCUCCUUAUGGGGUUUGGUGGAAAGUUUUUCGGUGUAGGAUGAGCCCGCGGCCUAUCAGCUUGUUGGUGGGGUGAUGGCCUACCAAGGCGACGACGGGUAGCCGGCCUGAGAGGGUGAUCGGCCACAUUGGGACUGAGAUACGGCCCAGACUCCUACGGGAGGCAGCAGUGGGGAAUAUUGCACAAUGGGCGGAAGCCUGAUGCAGCGACGCCGCGUGAGGGAUGACGGCCUUCGGGUUGUAAACCUCUUUCGGCAGUGACGAAGCGUAAGUGACGGUACCUGCAGAAGAAGCACCGGCUAACUAUGUG
rnacentral:rRNA from 1 species